rnacentral:rRNA from 1 species
GAUCCUGGCUCAGGAUGAACGCUAGCUACAGGCUUAACACAUGCAAGUCGAGGGGCAGCAUGAACUUAGCUUGCUAAGUUUGAUGGCGACCGGCGCACGGGUGAGUAACACGUAUCCAACCUGCCGAUGACUCGGGGAUAGCCUUUCGAAAGAAAGAUUAAUACCCGAUGGCAUAAUUCUUCCGCAUGGUAGAAUUAUUAAAGAAUUUCGGUCAUCGAUGGGGAGUGCGUUCCAUUAGG